AAUUCCAGUGAGCUGACUUUCAGAGUUCUCGCGCUGGCAGUGUCCCCAGGGCUUGCAUUAGGUGCGUGCACUUUCUUCUGCUCCAGCUGCAAAGAUACUCCAAAGCAAGACUCCACCACAGUUGUGUGCUGCCGGUGGACAGCAGAUGACUCGCCAGGCUGCCCUCUGGGUCUCCAGCGUUCACAGACACAGAAGCACAUCUGUUUACCACCCUAUGCCCAGUGCCUGGUCCAUGGAUGGAAACACCAUGCUUACCUUCAUUUAUUCACCAUUAUGGACAUAUCCCUCAGGAUACAGCCAGUUUCUCCUCUCUUCUCACAACUUCCUCAGAAAAAAGUUGGAAGUCCAUAAAAUUAGACUCUUGCAUUUCAUAGAGGUAUCUCGCUUUUGUAAACGGUGUAGUUCUCUGAAUUCCAGAAGGCCUGUAUUCACAGCUAUUUAUAGAAAAAGAGUUGCUUGCAAAAAUAAAAGCAGAAUGAUUUUUUUCAAAAACAUAAAUUUGGAAAUGUAACAACCAGUUGUCCAAGUAUCUAUUGAAAGGAGGUCUGUUAGUUCUCUAACAGUUUUAAUGCAGGUGGUAUCAUUUGAAGUUAAUAAAAUUGUUGGAGCUGGUAUACUUAUUACUGGU
rnacentral:lncRNA from 1 species